CCUACGGGUGGCUGCAGUGGGGAAUAUUGGACAACGGGGGGAACCCUGAUCCAGCCAUGCCGCGUGUGUGAAGAAGGCCCUCGGGUUGUAAAGCACUUUCAGUGAGGAAGAACGCCUGGUGGUUAAUACCCAUCAGGAAAGACAUCACUCACAGAAGAAGCACCGGCUAACUCCGUGCCAGCAGCCGCGGUAAUACGGAGGGUGCGAGCGUUAAUCGGAAUUACUGGGCGUAAAGCGCGCGUAGGUGGCUUGAUAAGCCGGUUGUGAAAGCCCCGGGCUCAACCUGGGAACGGCAUCCGGAACUGUCAAGCUAGAGUGCAGGAGAGGAAGGUAGAAUUCCCGGUGUAGCGGUGAAAUGCGUAGAGAUCGGGAGGAAUACCAGUGGCGAAGGCGGCCUUCUGGACUGACACUGACACUGAGGUGCGAAAGCGUGGGUAGCAAACAGGAUUAGAUACCCGAGUAGUC
rnacentral:rRNA from 1 species